GUGCAUGGGCCCAUGGACCACAGUCGGCUCUUGGCAUCAGCACGCGAUGCGAUGGAAGCGAAACCGGUUUCGACGUACCGGAUUUCUUCUCUGACCAUCCUGAUCGGAGGUCCGAAAAUCCCAACCGGCGUAAACAAGAAGGAAUCAGGUGUCCUUCUGGGAAGAGGGGCGCGGUGGAAACGAAGAAACCCCAAGAGAGGAAUCUCUGGAGAGAGCAGAUAGAAGGGGAUAUCCGAUGGUGAUAUGUUGUCCGGUAUGGCUGAUGCAUGUGAGAAUCUUAGCCUUGAUGCUGCAAGUAAAACUUCAACUCCCGUGUCUUUUGAUGCAUAGGUCUGGGAGCAGGAGAGCAGAGCUCCUCAAAACAAUUUGGCAAGAAAGCACCUAGGAAGCAGUUGUUAGAGAACAGGGAUUGGUAGGAGAUUCUAGCUAUCAAGUUCUAAGCUAAUAGGUCGAAAACCGCCACUCAUGUAGAAGUAAAAAGCCGAAAGAGCUAUAAUUCAGAUUCUGCAGCCCCACAUGACAUUUUUGCUUAUUCUGAGGGACCCAACGAUGUUUUCUUAACUCAUUGGUGGGAUGCAACAAAGAAGAAAAGACCAACUCAUGUACUCUUCCUGGAGGUACCCUAACUUUAUCAGAAAAAUGCAUUUCAAGUUUCUGAUCUUUUAAGAAUUAACAUGAUGCUUUACCAUUUCUGAUGGUGAAUCUAGUUUAAUGACAUCUGCAGAUUGCCCCUCUUUGACUUUAUAUCGAUUGAUGCCUCACUAAUAGUGCAAUAUUUUUGUAG